rnacentral:tRNA from 1 species
GCGGGAUUAGUUUAAUGGUAAAAUAAGGGAUUUCCAAUCCUUUGAUGGGAGUUCGAUUCUCCCAUCCCGCACCA